AGCCUAAAGUUAAGCUUUAGCGAUUUUAGGUGAAACCUGCCCAAUGCCUUUUAGGUGAAUGGCCGCAGUACCCUGACUGUGCUAAGGUAGCAUAAUCAGUUGGCUUUUAAAUGGAGUCGUGUAUGAAUGGAUUAAUGGGGUUGAGCUGUCUCUGCUAGAUUUAUUCGAAUUUGAUAAAAAGGUGAAAAUGCCUUUAUACAGAUAAAGGACGAUAAGACCCUUGGAGUUUUCACUAGUAAAGCUGAUUGCUUCGUUGUUUUUGCUGGGGCGGCACAGAGGAAAUUCUUAACCCUCUGAGAACAUAGGCCGAGAUUUUUAAGUGCAAUUAAACUACCCGAGGGAUAACAGCAUUAUUCUCUAUAGAGUUUGUGACCUCGAUGUUGGACUAGGAAUUAAUCAGGCUAGCCGCUUGAAUAUAUUGUUCUGUUCGAACUUCUCUUCCU
rnacentral:rRNA from 1 species